rnacentral:rRNA from 1 species
UGGGGAAUAUUGGACAAUGGGCGAAAGCCUGAUCCAGCCAUGCCGCGUGUGUGAAGAAGGCCUUUUGGUUGUAAAGCACUUUAAGCGAGGAGGAGGCUACUUAGAUUAAUACUCUAGGAUAGUGGACGUUACCCGCAGAAUAAGCACCGGCUAACUCUGUGCCAGCAGCCGCGGUAAUACAGAGGGUGCGAGCGUUAAUCGGAUUUACUGGGCGUAAAGCGUGCGUAGGCGGCUUUUUAAGUCGGAUGUGAAAUCCCUGAGCUUAACUUAGGAAUUGCAUUCGAUACUGGGAAGCUAGAGUAUGGGAGAGGAUGGUAGAAUUCCAGGUGUAGCGGUGAAAUGCGUAGAGAUCUGGAGGAAUACCGAUGGCGAAGGCAGCCAUCUGGCCUAAUACUGACGCUGAGGUACGAAAGCAUGGGGAGCAAACAGG